rnacentral:rRNA from 1 species
GACGAACGCUGGCGGCGUGCUUAACACAUGCAAGUCGAACGAGUGGCGAACGGGUGAGUAACACGUGGGUGAUCUGCCUUGCACUUCGGGAUAAGCCUGGGAAACUGGGUCUAAUACCGGAUAGUGCAAGAUGAGCUCGCGGCCUAUCGGCUGGUUGGUGGGGUAAUGGUUACCAAGGCGCGACGGGUAGCCGGCCUGAGGGGGUGGACGGCGAGAUUGGGACUGGGAUACGGCCCAGACUCCUAGGGGAGGCAGUAGUGGGGAAUAUUGCACAAUGGGCGGAAGCCUGAUGCAGGGAGACCGAGUGGGGGAUGUAGGCCUUCGGGUUGUAAACUCCUUUCGACAGGGACGCGGUACCUGUAUAAGAAGCACCGGCUAACUACGUGCCAGCAGCCGCGGUAAUAC